GAUGAACGCUGGCGGCGUGCCUAAUACAUGCAGGUCGAGCGAACGGACGAGAAGCUUGCUUCUCUGAUGUUAGCGGCGGACGGGUGAGUAACACGUGGAUAACCUACCUAUAAGACUGGGAUAACUUCGGGAGACCGGAGCUAAUACCGGAUAAUAUUUUGAACCGCAUGGUUCAAAAGUGAAAGACGGUCUUGCUGUCACUUAUAGAUGGAUCCGCGCUGCAUUAGCUAGUUGGUAAGGUAACGGCUUACCAAGGCAACGAUGCAUAGCCGACCUGAGAGGGUGAUCGGCCACACUGGAACUGAGACACGGUCCAGACUCCUACGGGAGGCAGCAGUAGGGAAUCUUCCGCAAUGGGCGAAAGCCUGACGGAGCAACGCCGCGUGAGUGAUGAAGGUCUUCGGAUCGUAAAACUCUGUUAUUAGGGAAGAACAUAUGUGUAAGUAACUGUGCACAUCUUGACGGUACCUAAUCAGAAAGCCACGGCUAACUACGUG
rnacentral:rRNA from 1 species